UACAGAGGUCCCAAGCCGUUGUUCGGAUUCACUGGGCGUAAAGGGUGCGUAGGUGGCCAGGUAAGUUUGGUGUGAAAGCUCGGAGCUUAACUCCGAAAAGUCAUUGAAUACUAUCUGGCUGGAGGGUCGGAGGGGAGACUGGAAUUCUCGGUGUAGCAGUGAAAUGCGUAGAUAUCGAGAGGAACACCAGUGGCGAAGGCGAGUCUCUGGACGACUCCUGACACUGAGGCACGAAAGCUAGGGGAGCAAACAGG
rnacentral:rRNA from 1 species